AACACCUCAAAGCUUUUGGAUUUUUUAAUCGAAAAGCUUUGGACUUGAGCAAUCCCAACACCAAUCUUUUUGAGAUCGGUGGCGGGUUGCUUGAAAUGCAGGUGCAGCUGGACAUUCUCCUGAGCUAAAAGCAUAUUCAUUUAGUCCCGUCAAACGGAUUAUUACUUUUGCUGCAGCUAACAUAAAGGGAGUUUGACCGUAUUGGCUGACUGAUGCAGGAUUUCACAAGGGUCGGCAACGAUUCUUGUUAAAC
rnacentral:misc_RNA from 1 species